rnacentral:lncRNA from 1 species
AUGGAGAGCGUGUGCACAGGGUUAGUGUUGCUGCCAAGCUCAUCCUCGCCACUCUUGGUUUCAGGAGCUCUGGAAGCAAAGCGGAAUAGAUUCACAUUAUCUGGGCAGGACACGCCCGCCACGGCUGUUUGUGGAUCUCUGGAAGCAUCUACAGCCACCCACCCUCCCACCCGGGAGUCCGAGCCCCGGCCAGGUGCCCCCACGGAGACCCUGCCCAGAGGCCCCAGGAUGGCCCAGGAGCUGAGGCCAGUACAGUGUCUGCAGAGCAGCCGGGAGGAGGAUGGACCAGACCUCGCCGGUGCAGGUAGAUGCCAGCUCUUUUUGUAUCUCUGGGUACUGGGCUGGGAUGCGGUUGUCCCAGCAGGGAUGGGGACUCCAAGAGCUGAGUUCAGAGACAGUUCCGCCUCGUGUCCUCGACAUCCUAGGGGAGAGACCGGGUGCGGGGUCUCCCUUACCGGAGUUUGGAUUUUCUCUUCCGUGCUCCUUAGGGCUCCCAAAUCGUGGUUUCAUCAACAUCCCUGGUUCUCGAUACCCUCUCCUGCUGUGCUUCCGGGCUGCCUUUGUUUAUCUAUUUACCUCUGCACUCUCCUGUCUUCAUUCAUUCAUUCAUUUAAAAACAAGAUGUAACGGAUAUUCUUGAGUCCAGAGGGGGUCAUUUCUGGGUUUUUGCGGAUGUCAACGCGCUGUGUCCCGGGCGCACGUGUGUGGAUCUCUCGGGCUGGGCCACAAGGAGCCAGGCCGCUGUGUGUGGGACGAUGGCACCGCCGUCUUCCCUCUCCCACUCCCUCCAGCCACAGACGCGCUGUGGACAACACCCCCACCCCAAGGCGUCCUCAGACAUCUCCUGAGGGCUUCUGCAUGGUGCUUCCCUGAGGCAAGGCGAGGCUGUGCCCUCCUUGGUUAAUUGCCGUGUGUGGAACCCUGAGGCUUUGGCUGCUGGGCCUUGAGGCCUGGGCCAGGUCAGACCCUUUGGCUGGGCUUGGACAUUCGGUGACCUCUGUGAUGCGUUUUUAUGGCCCCGUCCUGAAGCCACCCCUUAGGCCACAGGUUCGUCAGCAAGACCCUCCAGAGGGCUGUGGUCAAGGCUCUGUCCCGCCCCCAUCACUGCCCUACAGGAUGGGAGACUUGAGACCCCCAGCCCAGCCCGCCCCGGGAGCCAACCACAGUGAGGGCAGUGGGUCCAAAGCACCGCAUGUUAUUGGGCCGAGCUGGAGAGUAGAUGAGCAGACAGGGGACUGCUGGGGGCCCGGGGACAGCUGGCCCAUCCCCCAAGCUCUGGACUUUGAUCUGGGACCUCCAUCUGCGGGACAACCCCAAUACCGACCUGUUUCUCAUGUGGUAGGCUCUGGUGGAGGGAAGGGACUGGCCAGGGACUUUAGGGUCACUGAGCCCUCUGAAGGGCUUCCAGACACUGGCAGGUAAGGACAGGGUGGUCAGGCCACAAAGCAGGCCAGGCAGGGACUACUGCCCCACCCUGUCUGAGGACCUGCUCUGCUGUUGCCUUGAGCCAGCUAAACAGAGUUCCUGAUCACAGAGGCCAGGCCAUUGUCAGGGAGGAAUGGCUAAGGGCCUUGGACAAGUGAGUUUCCCUGCUCCAUGCCUCAGUUUCCUCAUUUGGGAAAUGGGAAGAAAGCUAAUGGGAGUGUCUGGCUCACGGGGCAGGUGUGGGGAUUAACUCAGCCAGGACCCGAGCAUGUUUGUGACAGGCCUUGGUACCCUCAGUGUUCAGGGUGCAGGCUGGAACCAGUGAGUUGGGAUUUGUUUGUGAUUUCUGAUGCUCAGCUCUGGUGGCAGCUCAGGCUGGGUCCACACUCACCUGUCACUCAGGACGUCCCCAGGGGAGGCUCAGGAAGAGGAGGACACCAGUGUUCCCCUGUGCCUGGGGUAGUCCGGGUGCCCCUGUUUGGCAAUGCGUCCUCCCGGGCCUGGGGGCUCACGGGUCAGUGGAGGGCUCCGAGGAGGAGGCAGCUUGCCUGGUUCUCACCGUUUCUCUCCCACAGCUUUGGGCAGAGUCCUGCCACAGGAGAGGCCUUAGGAAACCAGAGUCCUCCGGAGCAGAACAAGGCCCAGAUGGACUCCUAGGCGGAGUUUGGCUGUGGUUGGGGGAGCAGGCCCAUCCACUUCUUAUCUGAGGGACCUUUGGCAAAUUAAUGAGCCAUCCUGAGCCUCUGUCCUCACGUCUGUAAGUGGGAGCCAUGAUAGUAGGUGUUAGUAGAGCUUUCGUGGCAGCCACGUGAGCUGAUGCUUGUAAGAUGCUUGAAGAGGUCUGGACACCGAGGAAGAACCAAGUCCGCCUUUUCCCCACUCAUGUCAGGACACAUGUCCUCCUCCGUCAGUGAAACAGUGUCCUGCAGGCCAGAGAGGCUGAGCAAUCUGCCUCCACUCACCCAGCACUGAGCGAGGGGGAUGGGGCUUGAACCCUGAAGUCUGGCUCCCACACCGAACUCACCCCUGGCUCACCAGGCUGCUUCCCUGAGUGCUGGGAGGCUGAGGAGUUCGAGACCGGCCUGGGCCACCCCCAGUUGAAACUCUGUCUCUACAAAAAUACAAAAUUUAGCCGGGCAUGGUGGCAUGUACCUGUGGUCCCAGCUACUCGAGUGGCUGAGGUGGGGGGAUCACUUGAUUCCAGGAGGUUGAGGCGGCUGCAAUGAGCCGUGAUUGUGCCACCACACCCCAGCCUAGGCAACAGAGCAAGACUCCGUCUCAAAAAUAUUUGUUUUAAUUAAAAAAAAAGUUUAAAACUAAUUCAGGAGUUUUCAGAGUGACAUUUCCAAAAGGAGCCCUUUUUGGAGACCUUUGGGGAUGUGACCUGGGUCACAUCUGAGUCCCUGGGACCUGGUCACUCCUGAGUCCCUGGUCCCAGUGGCCACCAGGUCCCUGGAAAGAACCUGUCUCAUCAGCAGGUCCUUGCUGUGACUCACUGUGUAACAGCGAGGGAAGUUGGGGGCGAGGGCCUGAGAGUCUGGUGGUGCUGAGAAGGGUGCAGAGGUUGUGGAGGAGCCCCGCGAGUGUCCCUGCAACAACGGCUGACCUGGCAAGCCAGGAGCCCCUGCCCUGUGGCCGGGAAGGGGCAGGUAGGGCAGGGCCAGGGCACGAACCUGCGCCUGCCAGCUGCUCCUUGUCAGGCUGCUGCCAAGUCCGGGCAGUUCCCCAGCUAGAGACCCACCAAGAGAGUGUCCCGCAGUCAGGCCCCGCCUGGGCAGCCACUGCUGCUCAGAAACGUGACAGUGACUAAUGGUUUAUUACACACCUGCCACCUCUCAUCCGGCAGGCGGGCGGGCGCAGUCUCCCGGGCCCAGCUGUGCACUGCCAGCUGGGCGGUGGGGCGCGUGCAGGGGGAGGGGGCACGUCCAGACACGCAGACGCACGAGACAGACACAGACACAGCACAUACACGCACACACACACAGAGGAAAGCAGGCACUCAGAGACAUAGCCCACAUACACGGCAUAGGCACGAGCGCACGCAUAGGCCACACACACGCACACACGCACACACACACACACAGGAAAGCAGGCACUCAGAGACAGCCCACAGACACGGCAUAGGCACGGGUACACGCAUAGGCCACACACACACACAGAUAUGCAGACACACGGGCAGACCCAGCACAUAUGCAGAUACACACAAAGAAACCCGUGACGCACACACACCUGCAUAGAUUUUUCCCAAGCACACAAUAUACACGUGGAUAUACAGACUCACAGGCACAGGGCCAUAUACAGGCAGACACAGAGCCUGUCUGCACCGCACACAUACCACACACAGCCACACACACAGAAGCCAAACAUCCUCACACAGGUGGAUACACACACAGACUCACAAACACAUAUGCAGUACACACAUGGAUACAUACACAGAGUCCCCCCACAAGCACACAGACACACACAGGUACAGAGACACACAGAGACAGGCACAGACCCCCCACACACACAGGUACACACAGGCAUCAAGAUUGUCUCACACACACACGUAAGCACACACCACAGAAACACACACAGGAGUCACAUUCCAAAUGCCCAUCCCCACCACAGCCCCGUCUCCCUCUUCCCAGGCCACGGCCCCGGGGGCACUGACGCUCUCUGCCCUCCCUGUCUCUCUGGCGCCUGACAUGGUGGUCCCACCCUGGCACUGGCUGGGGCAGGGGCCUUUCCCAGCGGUGGGGGUGGCCAGGGCAAGUGGAGGAACUGUAACCGCCCAGGGCAGUCCAUUUCUGACCCCCACUUCCCUGGAAAUGCCUUGUGCGUGGGGACAGCAGCUUUUGCCAGGGAAAGGAAGCAGGUACAGGAGGAGCCUGUGCUGAGCUGGGACCUGGGCCGAGUGCCCCAGGGAAGCACAUGGCCGUCAGCUGCCUUGGUCUCCCCCAGAGGCAGGGGUUGUGUCUGUUGUGGAAGGCGGUGAUGAGUUUUGGUAACACUGGGUUCCCUGCUGUCCCAGACUCCCAGGCCAGCCCACAGAGCUUAUCAGACUUGUGUCACUACGGUCGGAUGGGGCUACCGCCGUGUCCAGAGUGGGGCCACUCCCGGGCAAAGGCUCCUGGUGGCUGGCCAGGCUCUUACCUUGUGGGCAGCUUUGGUUCCCAGGUGUUGCAUUUGCAGUGGCCAUCUGAGAAGUGGCCUCUUGCUGGCUGCGGGGAGCACAGCUCCAGGACGGGGGACUCGGCCCUUCUGUGAAGGCCUUGGGGACCCCUGGGGCUGGGAUUCCUCUGGCAGGCAAGGCCCAAAUGGACUGAGCAGGCAUCUCCAGCUGCUGGGAGAAGGGUGCAACGGAAACCUUGUGAUGUGUGUCCUUCCCUCUUGGGGCGGGCGAGCACUCGAGCUCAUCUCUUUCCAGUACUCUUCGGCCUUUAGUCAAAUGAAGACCCAUUUCUCAUGUGCCAUCGCGUGCAGUAUAGAAUCUAUUGAGAGGACACUGCUAAUUUAUCACCAGCGGAUGGGAACAGGCUUCCCUAGAGCAAGUAUCUUUGUGUUGCCUGCAGCCACCUUGGGAGAGAAGCAGCACUGGUUGGUGAUAGGAGGGAGGGGCCUGGACUCAGGUCCAAGUUUCUAAGUCCUAGCAUUGCUACUUCCCGGCCACGGAGCCUUCUCAAGGUUCAGGACCUUUCCUGGGCUCUGCUGCUCUGACUACUGAAUAGGCAUGGUAAAAAUAAAAUCCUUCUGGUAGCAUGGUGUCAGUGAUACUGGAUGAACACUGAGACGGCACUGAGGGCUGCCAUGCAGGGCUGUGCAGCGUGCACACUGCACAACUCCAGGAGGCGUCCACACACAGCAGAGGAAGGAGGGAGUGAGGGUAAUCAAGAGAAUGAAAGCACUGAGCUGUUUUCCCACCAGAGGGUGCAGUUGCAAAAGCCUGAUUUUCCCAUGCGGUGCCUCAGUUUACCCAUAGGUACUGUCACCACCAGUUGCCCUCUGUUGGCCACCUGAGGAAAGGAAAACCAGCCUCUCCCUGUGGUCUGGGAC